rnacentral:lncRNA from 1 species
CUUCUUUUCUUCCUCCUCCUCUUUCCCCUCCUCCUCCCCCGCCAGCCACCGCCUCCUCCUCUACCAGCACCACUCCCUCUGGGGCACCGGGGUCCCUGCAGAUUCCCCGGCCCUUGCCGCCUCCACCGCGGGCCCCCUGGACCCCAAGCCAGCUGCGCCGGAACUGGUAGGACACAAGGACAGACAGGCGUGCGGAUGCCUCUCCCUCAGCGCUCUGCCGCUGCGGCCCCGCGUCGGUGGAGCCGAGAUGGCCCCGGGAGUUCUGCGAGGCACUGAGAAGCCAACAUGAAUAAGCCCUUCCCUGGUCACUCACCAUGAGAGAAAGACAAGAAGCAGCCUUCCUCUGCUGGCUUUAGUCAUGAGAGACUGAGAAAGCAAAAUACCAUCUGCAAAAGUGAAAAGAACUUUGAGCAGUGGUGCACUGGGAAUGGAGUAGCCCCUGUCUAUUAGGCAGUUUCUUUGGAAAGCUGGCUGGCUGGGAAAAUUUGAUGACAACUCUUUCCAACCAGGGUCACCACUCAAGCCAUGCUUAGAUAUGGACAUUUCCUCAAGCUCCUCGUAGAGACUUUUCACACCCAUUCAUCAAAUACUUCCGGCCUUCCACUUUCUGUCUGUGCAAGGACUCUACCUCCUGCCUAUAAAUUUAAAUACAGCACAAGCCUGCUAGAGACACUGAAAUGUGUGUGGAAGUCACCCAUCCAACAGGAAGUUCAGGCUGGUGUGCAACCAUCUUGUCAUGACUGUGGAUAUGGGUGCCGCGAUGAAGCCACAAUGGAGCCCAGUCACUGUGACACACGGAGCUGCCAUGGAUGGUGCUAUGGUUUGAAUGUGGCUUGUCUCCCUCAAGACUCAUGGGAAAUGUGAUGUCAUCAUGGCCGCAUUGGGAGGCAGGGUCUUCAGGGAUGGUCAGUUGGUCAAGGAUUUGUGCCUUUCUUGUAAGAGUGGGUUAAUUCUAAUCGGAGGGGUGGUUAGUUAUUGGGAGAGUAGGGUACUACAAAAGUGAGUUUGCCUUCUUUGGCUCUUUCCUGCUUCCUCCUUCACCAUGUGAUUCCUCCUGCCCUUUCUCCGUGGUGUGCUGCAGCAGGAGACCCUCACCAGAAGCCAAGCCAGUGCCAGCACCAUGGCCUUGGGCUUCCAGCCUCCAGGAUAAUAAAGCA